rnacentral:rRNA from 1 species
GAUGAACGCUGGCGGCGUGCCUAAUACAUGCAAGUCGAGCGAACGGACGAGAAGCUUGCUCCUCUGAUGUUAGCGGCGGACGGGUGAGUAACACGUGGAUAACCUACCUAUAAGACUGGGAUAACUUCGGGAAACCGGAGCUAAUACCGGAUAAUAUUUUGAACCGCAUGGUUCAAAAGUGAAAGACGGUUUUGCUGUCACUUAUAGAUGGAUCCGCGCUGCAUUAGCUAGUUGGUAAGGUAACGGCUUACCAAGGCAACGAUGCGUAGCCGACCUGAGAGGGUGAUCGGCCACACUGGAACUGAGACACGGUCCAGACUCCUACGGGAGGCAGCAGUAGGGAAUCUUCCGCAAUGGGCGAAAGCCUGACGGAGCAACGCCGCGUGAGUGAUGAAGGUCUUCGGAUCGUAAAACUCUGUUAUUAGGGAAGAACAUAUGUGUAAGUAACUGUGCACGUCUUGACGGUACCUAAUCAGAAAGCCACGGCUAACUACGUG